rnacentral:rRNA from 1 species
AUUGAACGCUGGCGGCAUGCUUUACACAUGCAAGUCGAACGGUAACAGGCCGCCAGGUGCUGACGAGUGGCGAACGGGUGAGUAAUGCAUCGGAACGUGCCCAGUCGUGGGGGAUAACUACUCGAAAGAGUAGCUAAUACCGCAUACGAUCUAUGGAUGAAAGCGGGGGACCGUAAGGCCUCGAGCGAUUGGAGCGGCCGAUGUCAGAUUAGGUAGUUGGUGGGGUAAAGGCGCACCAAGCCAACGAUCUGUAGCUGGUCUGAGAGGACGACCAGCCACACUGGGACUGAGACACGGCCCAGACUCCUACGGGAGGCAGCAGUGGGGAAUUUUGGACAAUGGGCGCAAGCCUGAUCCAGCAAUGCCGCGUGCAGGAAGAAGGCCUUCGGGUUGUAAACUGCUUUUGUACGGAACGAAACGGCUCUGGUUAAUACCCGGGGCUAAUGACGGUACCGUAAGAAUAAGCACCGGCUAACUACGUG